rnacentral:rRNA from 1 species
UAAACUGAAGAGUUUGAUCCUGGCUCAGAAUGAACGCUGGCGGCAGGCCUAACACAUGCAAGUCGGACGGAAACGACAAGAACAAUCACUUCGGUGUGCGUUUUUGGGCGUCGAGUGGCGGACGGGUGAGUAACGCGUGGGAAUCUACCCUUUAGUUGGGGACAACAUAUGGAAACGUAUGCUAAUACCGAAUAUGCUCUACGGAGUAAAGGUGCCCUCUCCUUGGAAGGUAUCGCUAAAGGAUGAGCCCGCGUUAGAUUAGCUAGUUGGUAAGGUAAAGGCUUACCAAGGCGACGAUCUAUAGCUGGUUUGAGAGGAUGAUCAGCCACACUGGGACUGAGACACGGCCCAGACUCCUACGGGAGGCAGCAGUGGGGAAUAUUGCACAAUGAGGGAAACCUUGAUGCAGCCAUGCCGCGUGUGUGAAGAAGGCCCGAGGGUUGUAAAGCACUUUCAAUUGUGAGGAAGAUUAAGUAGCUAAUACCUGCUUAGUUUGACGUUAACUUUAGAAGAAGCACCGGCUAACUCUGUGCCAGCAGCCGCGGUAAUACAGAGGGUGCAAGCGUUAUUCGGAAUUACUGGGCGUAAAGCGCGCGUAGGCGGACUGUUAAGUCGGUUGUGAAAGCCCUGGGCUCAACCUAGGAACUGCAUCCGAUACUGGCAAUCUAGAGUUUAAGAGAGGGAAGUGGAAUUCCAGGUGUAGCAGUGAAAUGCGUAGAUAUCUGGAGGAACAUCAGUGGCGAAGGCGACUUCCUGGCUUAAAACUGACGCUGAGGUGCGAAAGCUUGGGUAGCGAACGGGAUUAGAUACCCCGGUAGUCCAAGCCGUAAACGAUGUCAACUAGCUGUUGGCCUUAUUAAAAAGGUUAGUAGCGUAGCUAACGCGAUAAGUUGACCGCCUGGGGAGUACGGUCGCAAGAUUAAAACUCAAAGGAAUUGAC